rnacentral:rRNA from 1 species
UACGUAGGGGGCAAGCGUUGUCCGGAAUCAUUGGGCGUAAAGAGCGUGUAGGCGGCCCGAUAAGUCCGCUGUGAAAGUCCAGGGCUCAACCCUGGGAUGCCGGUGGAUACUGUCGGGCUCGAGUCCGGAAGAGGAGUGUGGAAUUCCUGGUGUAGCGGUGAAAUGCGCAGAUAUUCGCAAGAACACCAGUGGCGAAGGCGGCCGACUGGUCCGGUUCUGACGCUGAGGCGCGAAAGCGUGGGGAGCAACAGG